UACGAAGGGGGCUAGCGUUGCUCGGAAUCACUGGGCGUAAAGCGCACGUAGGCGGAUUGUUAAGUCAGGGGUGAAAUCCUGGAGCUCAACUCCAGAACUGCCUUUGAUACUGGCGAUCUCGAGUCCGGGAGAGGUGAGUGGAACUGCGAGUGUAGAGGUGAAAUUCGUAGAUAUUCGCAAGAACACCAGUGGCGAAGGCGGCUCACUGGCCCGGUACUGACGCUGAGGUACGAAAGCGUGGGGAGCAAACAGG
rnacentral:rRNA from 1 species